UACAGAGGGGCGAAGCAGUUGUCCGGAAUCACUGGGCGUAAAGGGCGCGUAGGCGGCCUGAUAAGUAGGGGGUGAAAUCCUGCGGCUUAACCGCAGGGCUGCCUUCUAAACUGUCAGGCUAGAGCACAGUAGAGGCAGGUGGAAUUCCCGGUGUAGCGGUGGAAUGCGUAGAGAUCGGGAAGAACAUCAGUGGCGAAGGCGGCCUGCUGGGCUGUUGCUGACGCUGAGGCGCGACAGCGUGGGGAGCAAACAGG
rnacentral:rRNA from 1 species